GACAGAGGGUGCAAACGUUGUUCGGAAUUACUGGGCGUAAAGCGCGUGUAGGCGGCUAAGUAAGUCGGGCGUGAAAUCCCACGGCUCAACCGUGGAAGUGCACUCGAAACUGCAUAGCUAGAGUCCUGGAGAGGAAGGUGGAAUGCUUGGUGUAGAGGUGAAAUUCGUAGAUAUCAAGCGGAACACCGGUGGCGAGGGCGGCCUUCUGGACAGUGACUGACGCUGAGACGCGAAAGCGUGGGGAGCAAACAGG
rnacentral:rRNA from 1 species